UACAGAGGGGGCAAGCGUUGUUCGGAAUUACUGGGCGUAAAGGGCGCGUAGGCGGCCUGCUAAGUCGAACGUGAAAUCCCUGGGCUCAACCCAGGAACUGCGUCCGAUACUGGUUGGCUUGAAUCCGGGAGAGGGAUGUGGAAUUCCAGGUGUAGCGGUGAAAUGCGUAGAUAUCUGGAGGAACACCGGUGGCGAAGGCGACAUCCUGGACCGGCAUUGACGCUGAGACGCGAAAGCCAGGGGAGCAAACGGG
rnacentral:rRNA from 1 species